rnacentral:rRNA from 1 species
UACGUAGGGUGCGAGCGUUAAUCGGAAUUACUGGGCGUAAAGCGUGCGCAGGCGGUUUUGUAAGUCUGUCGUGAAAUCCCCGGGCUUAACCUGGGAAUUGCGAUGGAGACUGCAAGGCUAGAAUCUGGCAGAGGGGGGUAGAAUUCCACGUGUAGCAGUGAAAUGCGUAGAGAUGUGGAGGAACGCCGAUGGCGAAGGCAGCCCCCUGGGUCAAGAUUGACGCUCAUGCACGAAAGCGUGGGGAGCAAACAGG